rnacentral:snRNA from 1 species
AUUGCUUUGGCGAUGCAUAAUGGAACGCUACGGUGAAGAUUAGUAUGGUCCCUGCACGAGGAUGACACGAAAAUUUGUAAAGCAUUUCUAGUAAAC